AACGAACGCUGGCGGCGCGCCUAAUACAUGCAAGUCGAGCGAGAAGACGUAGCAAUACGUUUGUAAAGCGGCGAACGGGUGAGGAAUACAUGGGUAACCUACCCUCGAGUGGGGAAUAACUAGCCGAAAGGUUAGCUAAUACCGCGUACGCUCCUUGGACUUCGGUUCAGGGAGGAAAGCGAUACCGUGGGUAUCGCGCUCUUGGAUGGGCUCAUGUCCUAUCAGCUUGUUGGGAGGUAACGGCUCACCAAGGCUUCGACGGGUAGCUGGUCUGAGAGGACAAUCAGCCACACUGGCACUGCGACACGGGCCAGACUCCUACGGGAGGCAGCAGUAAGGAAUAUUGCGCAAUGGGCGAAAGCCUGACGCAGCGACGCCGCGUGGGGGAUGAAGGUCUUCGGAUUGUAAACCCCUUUCGGGAGGGAAGAUGGAACGAGCAAUCGUUCGGACGGUACCUCCAGAAGCAGCCACGGCUAACUUCGUGCCAGCCGCCGCU
rnacentral:rRNA from 1 species